GACGAACGCUGGCGGCGUGCCUAAUACAUGCAAGUAGAACGCACAGUUUAUACCGUAGCUUGCUACACCAUAGACUGUGAGUUGCGAACGGGUGAGUAACGCGUAGGUAACCUGCCUGGUAGCGGGGGAUAACUAUUGGAAACGAUAGCUAAUACCGCAUAAUAUUAAUUAUUGCAUGAUAAUUAAUUGAAAGGUGCAAUUGCACCACUACCAGAUGGACCUGCGUUGUAUUAGCUAGUAGGUGAGGUAACGGCUCACCUAGGCGACGAUACAUAGCCGACCUGAGAGGGUGAUCGGCCACACUGGGACUGAGAUACGGCCCAGACUCCUACGGGAGGCAGCAGUAGGGAAUCUUCGGCAAUGGACGAAAGUCUGACCGAGCAACGCCGCGUGAGUGAAGAAGGUUUUCGGAUCGUAAAGCUCUGUUGUAAGAGAAGAACGGGUGUGAGAGUGGAAAGUUCACACUGUGACGGUAUCUUACCAGAAAGGGACGGCUAACUACGUG
rnacentral:rRNA from 1 species